AGUGAAGAUGGCACGUGCGUCUUGUGGUCGCGAUUAUCACUGUUGUCCUGAUAUAAAUACAGCAGUAGAAACUGCUUGUAAAUCUGGAUUUGAUUUUGUGUGUCUGCCAAUUGUGAAUCCAAGAUACAAACGUGAAUUUAUUCAUGGUCCAGCAAAGAAUCGGCCUGGUCCUCUUUCGAGAUCUGACCUUGUUUUAUCAGGCCAAGAUUGGAGUACAUUGAUUGUCGGCAAAACAUCGCCAUGGUUACAGCUGGACUCGAGAGUGGAAGUUAUUCGAAAGAACUCUGAAGCUGGAUUCAAACAGGAGUUGGCAUUUGCAAGCCACCUUGGGCUCCCAGCCAUAUUAAUUCAACUGAAACAUGGCAAGAAUGCCAACCUAGCAAGAUGUCUCAGUGAACAGAUCCAAGCAGCUUACUUCCAACAACAAUACUGGAUCCAGAUCCCGCUGAUAUCGGCUCGUGACCAGGCAGACUGUCUGAUGGAGGGGGGACAGACAGACGAGGAGAGAGAGCCCCAGGAUGACACCUGGAAAUGGUGGCAUGAGUUUAGAACUCUGUGCGACUCUCAGAGGAGAAUCAAUGUUGUUCUGGAGCUGUCCACUAAUCUGCCAGACGAGGAGGUAUUGGACCGAUGGCUGGCCGAGCCAAUCAAGUGUGUCAUGGUAUCCACCAAUCUGUUUCUGACCAAUAAGAGAGGGUAUCCUGUGUUAUCAAAACCUCAUCAGAGUUUCCUUAAAAAACUGUUCAAGCUGGACAUUCAGAUAAUCCUGACCGGGGCAGACAGACACCCAGACAAAGGCCUCCACACCUACCAGCAGUACCUGGAUCACCUUUGGCAGGUAAGACAUCAAGACACAGAUCUCCAACAGUACCAGCAUUGCCUGUACAUGGAUAACCUGUGGCAGGUAAGUGCAAGUCUGACCUGUAGAAGAGACGGGGCUUACAUGUAUGUUCUCUCUCAUCUUAUCUGUGCCGAAAACAUAUUAUAUACUGACACUUUAAAAUAUUAUUUGAAAUUUUUAUUAAUAUAGGCUAUAGAUGAAAAUGUUUAGAACUCAUUAUGACAUGACUUAAAGGAAUUACGUGUAUAUACAUGCAUAUGUGAGGUUGGUAAAUGAUUUAAUACAGAGCAAGCCUAAACGGUCAUAUAUAAACCUUAUGUAAUGUAGAAUAUAUAUUAGGAUAGGCACAUGAAUGCUCAUGAAAAUUAAUCAUUGCACAAACCCUUUUGGCAUCUGACCAGUAUUCAUAUACAUGUAUGUGUUUGUUGCAAAUGUUAGCCUUUUAUAAAUUCACUGCCUUUUUUAGCAUGAGAGACAAACUUUUAAGAGAUUAAGUACUGACUCAGUUGAUCACUUGGUUUUUUUGUCUUCCAUAGACUAGGUCCCCUCCUGAUCCCAUCACACAGUUUGCCAAGGGCUACGAGGACUACUUGCAAAGUCCACUGCAGCCUUUGAUGGACAACCUAGAAUCACAAACUUACGAAAUCUUUGAGAAAGACCCUGUCAAAUAUUCCCAAUAUCAGAAGGCUGUGUACUAUGCCCUUCUGGGUAAGAUCAAACCAGAGGAAAAAGAAACAAAGAGUGUUGUUUUAAUGGUGGUUGGGGCUGGCAGAGGACCCCUUGUGAGGGCCUCCAUUGCCGCUUCCCAUCAGGCAGAUCGAAAAAUUAAGAAGGUGUAUGCGGUGGAGAAAAAUCCUAAUGCUGUAGUGACUCUGGAGAACAUGAAGGACGAGAUGUGGGGGGACCUGGUGGAGGUGGUGUCAUGUGACAUGCGGUUGUGGGAGGCGCCAGAGAAGGCGGACAUCUUGGUCAGCGAGCUACUGGGGUCAUUUGGAGAUAACGAACUCUCCCCGGAAUGUCUGGAUGGAGCUCAGAGAUUUCUGAAGGAUGAUGGUAUCAGUAUUCCUUGUGAAUACACAUCCUACAUGUCGCCACUACAGUCAGAAAAGCUGUACAAUGAAGUCAGAGUGUGCAAGGACAACACCCCCUCCAACAAACCGCUAGAUCACAAUUUUGAGACCCCCUAUGUGGUACGCCUCCAUAACUGUCAGGUGCUUGCUCCUCCACAGGAAGUGUUCCACUUUAAACAUCCAAACAGAGACACAGUGAUAGACAACACUAGGUACACCUGUCUGGAGUUUGACAUCAAACAAGACGCAGUUCUUCACGGGUUUGCUGGCUACUUUGACACAAUUCUGUACGACAAUGUGACCCUAAGUAUACAUCCAGACACCCACUCUCCAGGAAUGUUUAGCUGGUUCCCCAUCUUGUUCCCAAUCAAGACACCCAUUUAUGUGAAGAAAAAUGAUCGUGUUGUCCUGCACAUCUGGAGAAGCUGUAACGCAAAGAAUGUAUGGUAUGAGUGGACAAUUGUGGAGCCUACUGUCUUGCCAAUCCACAACCCAAAGGGCCGCUCCUACACCAUAGGACUCUAAAAACUUGUACAGUGUUCAAUCUAUUGUGUUUUGGAGUUGUUAUGCUUUACUAAGGUCACAAGCUAAGAAAAGCAACAUUUUGGUGACCAAAUGAAAGACUUUGUUAGGUUUGUCAGGCAAAUUUGACAUGAUCUGUUGUAUUUAGACAAAAUUUAAUGUAUAAAUAAGAUAUAUUUCUUGUGUUCUAUUUAGUGAUUGAAUAUUUAUUAAAGAUGUAAAGCGUC
rnacentral:misc_RNA from 1 species